rnacentral:lncRNA from 1 species
AAAUUAUAAUGCUAUAUCUAUUUGAAUAAGAGCAGCUAAAUAACAGUAGCUAAACUAAAAAGAGAUAAAUCAAGAUAACUUUAAAGAGAUAGCCCAGGCUGCUGUGUCUCACUGUGACUGUGGGUGUUGAGGGCCCUGCUGCUGGGAGAGCUGAGUGAAACCUGCUGGCCCUGAAUCCCUAAGCCUCACAGCACCUCACUUCUCCUUGCUGGGAACCUGAUGACUCAGGGGACCCCUGGUCCUUGUGGGCCUCUGUUGGCUGUACCUGAAGCAGCAGGAGCAAAGAACCCCUAGUAAAAGGCAGGAACUUGAACUCCAUGUCAGCCAGGAUCUGCCUACUGCAAUCAUCUUCUUUUCUUAGCUCCCGGAGCUUUCUCUCAGUGGACAGAACUGCCCUCCAGCUUUCCUGAGCUCUUUCCACACAGGCAAGAAUCUCCUUCUGAUAGAAGGAAGUGAUUCUUUCCAAUUCUUUGCUGAUAUUUUCAGCCAUCUCCUUGUAGAGGCUGUGAAUCUGCUGUGUGUAUUCACAUUUCUACACACGCUCAGAAGUUUCUUCUUCAUUUCUAACCUGUGUGUUUCCACCGCAGGUGAUCUUCUCUGAAGUUGCGCUAUGUGUUCUUGAUGUGAUUCAGCAGACAGCUCACAUGGACCCAAGUUGGGGUUAACAUGCAGAUUGUGCAGGGGUUCCCUGCGGAUGCACCCCUGUGUGCCCUGAUGUGGACCUGCUCCUUCCUGCUUCCUGGGCUCCAGACAGAAACACCGUACCCCUGCACCAGCCUCUGCCUCAGCUCUUCACAGUCAGCACACCCUCCGCUUCCUGUCAGGGUGUUCUCUGCUGAGUCUGGUUAUGGGAUCCCUUUCUGUGCAGAGCCAUGCUCCCGUGUCACUGUGUGUCACCUUCAAGCUGUCCCCGUGUGUAUGCCUGUGUGAGAAUAUGUGUGUGUGGGUUUGCCAUCGAAGGAAAACCUUUAUUUUGGCUGCUAACAUUUGGAAACAUUUAGAG